GAAAGGCUGUUUGGCUUUGAGUAAAUCUGUUCAUCUAGUGGAUCCUUCUCUGGAAAAGCAGGAAGAUCCAGGCUUCUUCUCUUGGGCUUUGGGAAGGUGAGAGCCAUAAGCUGUUGAAGAGUCCUACGUGACUGUUGUACCUGCUCCCACAGGGCUGGGUAUGGUCGCUAGCAGCACAGGACCACCGUGUGUGCUCCGGCUCUUGGGACAGCACCGUGAAGCUGUGGGACAUGGCGGCCGAUGGGCAGCAGUUUGGAGAGAUCAAGUGUGAGGGGGCCCGGGCAGGGGGCCUGGGUGGGUAGAGCCCAGCCCAGCCAUCACCCCAGCCUUGUGUGCUGUGUCCCCAGGGGCAAGGCGGCAGUGCUGUGCCUUUCCUACCAACCUGAUAUCCUGGUGACUGGUACCUAUGACAAGAAGGUGACCAUCUAUGAUCCCAGAGGUGAGCCUUUAAUCCCAGGACUUAGAAGGGAAAGAGAAGCAGAUCUCUGAGUUCAAGAUCAGCAUGGUCUACAUAGUAAAUUCUAGGCCAACUACACAGUGAGAUCCGUCAC
rnacentral:lncRNA from 1 species